rnacentral:rRNA from 1 species
ACAGAUCGUUCAGAGUUUGAUCCUGGCUCAGGAUGAACGCUGGCGGCGUGCUUAACACAUGCAAGUCGAACGAAGCACUUAUGAUUGAGAUUUCGGUUGAUUUUAUAAGUGACUUAGUGGCGGACGGGUGAGUAACGCGUGGGUAACCUGCCUCGUACAGGGGGAUAACAGUUAGAAAUGACUGCUAAUACCGCAUAACCCGCUAAGGUCGCAUGACCUGGACGGAAAAGAUUUAUCGGUACGAGAUGGACCCGCGUCUGAUUAGCUAGUUGGUGAGGUAACGGCCCACCAAGGCGACGAUCAGUAGCCGGCCUGAGAGGGUGACCGGCCACAUUGGGACUGAAACACGGCCCAA